rnacentral:lncRNA from 1 species
GUGUGCUGUGCAGGGGGUCGACGAGCUUCUAAUUCAAGUUGAAAUAGAAGAUCAGCUAUUUCUCCCUAGAAGAUGGCAGCAGUGCUAAGAUGCCAUGCACAGAGAGCUCCAGCACAUUGUAUCUAAAAUGGUCGUACAGAAGUACAGCUGGGUUUCUGAGAACAAAUUAGCAUUUAAAAGCCUGGCAAAUGUGCUGCUGUUUCUCCUUGGUGCCAGACGUACCCUGUUCAACACAACCGACGCAGCUGUUUCGGACAUAACAAAAAGGUGGCUCAUGUUCGCUGUGGAUCAAGAAGGUGCACUUAUGCAAAGACGGCGUGCCACCUUGAUGAAAGACUCCAACAGAAGCCCAAGCGACACUUUAUAAUCGCAAGAGUUCAGGAAGGAAUAUAAAAAAUGGCGUAUUGCCUUGUAUAUAUUCAGUGUAAAAUAAACCUGAAGCACCA